rnacentral:rRNA from 1 species
UGAGCAACCUGCCCUUGACUCUGGAAUAACAGUUGGAAACAGCUGCUAAUACCGGAUAUGACCUCUGGCGACAUCGUCUGGAGGUGGAAAGCUCCGGCGGUCAAGGAUGGGCUCGCGGCCUAUCAGCUUGUUGGUGAGGUAACGGCUCACCAAGGCUUCGACGGGUAGCCGGCCUGAGAGGGCGACCGGCCACACGUGGGACUGAGAUACGGCCCAGACUCCGUAGGGAGG